rnacentral:rRNA from 1 species
GGGCCCGCACAAGCGGAGGAACAUGUGGUUUAAUUCGAUGAUACGCGAGGAACCUUACCCGGGCUCGAACGGCUAUUGGAUAUAGUAGAGAUAUUAUAGACCUUCGGACAAUAGUCGAGGUGCUGCAUGGUUGUCGUCAGCUCGUGCCGUGAGGUGUCGGCUUAAGUGCCAUAACGAGCGCAACCCUUGUCGUUAGUUGCCAUCAGGUAAAGCUGGGGACUCUAGCGAGACUGCCACCGUAAGGUGUGAGGAAGGGGGGGAUGACGUCAAAUCAGCACGGCCCUUACGUCCGGGGCGACACACGUGUUACAAUGGGUGGUACAGAGGGUAGCUAUACAGUGAUGUAAUGCGAAUCUCUAAAGCCAUUCUCAGUUCGGAUUGGAGUCUGCAACUCGACUCCAUGAAGUUGGAUUCGCUAGUAAUCGCGCAUCAGCCAUGGCGCGGUGAAUACG